rnacentral:rRNA from 1 species
CACGUAGGGCGCGAGCGUUGUCCGGAAUUAUUGGGCGUAAAGAGCUCGUAGGCGGCUUGUCGCGUCGGAUGUGAAAGCCCGAGGCUUAACCUCGGGUCUGCAUUCGAUACGGGCAGGCUAGAGUGUGGUAGGGGAGAUCGGAAUUCCUGGUGUAGCGGUGAAAUGCGCAGAUAUCAGGAGGAACACCGGUGGCGAAGGCGGAUCUCUGGGCCAUUACUGACGCUGAGGAGCGAAAGCGUGGGGAGCGAACAGG